rnacentral:misc_RNA from 1 species
GGCAUAUAUUUAUAGACCAAGAAUUUCUCAUUCUCAUGAUCUAAGCAAUGUCCCAAAAAAGGCACAAGCCUAUGGUGUGUUGUCCAGUUUAACAAAUCCAACUCCAACUUGUACGUUUCCUUUUCGAUAUGGUGUACAUUAACUUUCUUGAUAACUACGGUGACACCGCCUUCCAAUAUGCCUCGGAAAAUGUCUCCUGUAUGACCAUUCUUGAUAAGAUCUGUUUCAUUGAAGUUGCUAGUGGCUUUUAGUAUCUGAUCAUAAGUAAAUGAUUCGAUCGAACCAGAUGUAUCACGAGAGAACUUUACUGGUGCCGCCUGAUUAUUACCUCCUUCCACAACAGGACUAACAUUCGAUAUGCCUCUUUCGUUUGUAUUCCCUCUAUAACAUAUCUUCCAAAACAAUAAAAUAACUAAUGCCAUAAGCAUAAGAACACCAACUCCACCAAAAACUCCAACCAUGACAAACAAACAUUUAUGCCUGCCCUUCGAUGCUCUAUGCACUCGAGUUCCGAUUCCACCAUCAACAAAAACUAAACCCCUAUCAGCAUAAAACUUACUACAAUCAUCUAAACUCCUCUGAUUCAAUAACCCUUUAAAGCAAUUAUCCAUAACUCGAACACCAGAUAUAGCCGGUGCUAGUCCUUGAAAGUAAUUCUUAGACAGAUCAAUUGACUGAAAACUCCGAACAUCAAACGUUACAUUCCCAUAGAAAAGAUUAUUCGAAAGGUUAUAUGAA